rnacentral:rRNA from 1 species
CCUACGGGAGGCUGCAGUGGGGAAUAUUGGACAAUGGGGGCAACCCUGAUCCAGCCAUGCCGCGUGUAUGAAGAAGGCCCUCGGGUUGUAAAGCACUUUCAGUGAGGAAGAACGCCUGGUGGUUAAUACCCAUCAGGAAAGACAUCACUCACAGAAGAAGCACCGGCUAACUCCGUGCCAGCAGCCGCGGUAAUACGGAGGGUGCGAGCGUUAAUCGGAAUUACUGGGCGUAAAGCGCGCGUAGGUGGCUUGAUAAGCCGGUUGUGAAAGCCCCGGGCUCAACCUGGGAACGGCAUCCGGAACUGUCAAGCUAGAGUGCAGGAGAGGAAGGUAGAAUUCCCGGUGUAGCGGUGAAAUGCGUAGAGAUCGGGAGGAAUACCAGUGGCGAAGGCGGCCUUCUGGACUGACACUGACACUGAGGUGCGAAAGCGUGGGUAGCAAACAGGAUUAGAUACCCUUGUAGUC